rnacentral:lncRNA from 1 species
AUGGUGAAGGGUAGGCCCUCAGGUCCCAUUCAUGGACAUCCACUGGUAUAGAAAAAAGAGAAUUGAUACAGUGUCUGUGGACACCACACCUAUGAGUGAGCUCAAUCUAGAUCACUCUAGGACACAUUGCAAGAGAAGGAGGGAGAGAAAUCCACCUCAACAGAUGCAUGAAACUCAACAGAGAAAUACAAGAAAUAUGGGGGAAAAGGUAACAUGACAUCUCCUAAAGUUCAUAAUUUACCAGCAACUGACUCCAAAGAUAUUGAAGUGGGUGAAAUAUCAGAUAAAGAAUUUAAAAGACUGCUUGUAAAAAUGAUCAAUGAAUUCCAAGAGAACACAGAAAAACAACUGAAUGAAUUAAGGAAAUCAGUACAGGAUAUGAAUGAGAAAUCCAAUAAGGAUAGAGAGAUAUUGAAAAAGAGCCAAACAAAAAUCUUGAAAAUGAAAGACACAAUAAAUCAAAUAAAAUGUUUACUUGAAAGUCUCUCUAAUAGAGUGAACCAUGCUCAAGAAAGAAUCUCUGGCUUCAGAAUGAAUUAAAAAAAAAAAAAAAAACAAGAU